ACCUAAAAACUCCCAUUCCCAGAUUUAUUUACACCUACCGUUUCCUUUCUCCUCCGUCGCAUUUCUUCAAGAACACUCAAAUUGAACUCAAUCAUACAGAAAUUUAUCGGCCCUCUCAAAAAUCAAAACACAAAAAUUGAUCAAAAAUCAAAACACAAAAACUGAACAGAAAUUAGAGCUCCCUCCCUCAAGCUCUUGUCGGCCCCAUUCUCUCACAAAACAUCGAAAAUGAGAUUCCCAAAAUUAAAUCAUGUCUCGCUAUGAAAUCUCUAAUCCCGUCGGCGUCAUACCUCCUCGGUUUUUCUCUCUCUGUCACGCAGCACCUCGGCUCCAAUUCAUCGCCCGCACACACCGCCGUAGUCCCUGAAACUAGCCCCGAAACGACACCACGCAGCCACAAAACCAACCCGAACACCCAAGAUUACGGAGGAGAAAAAUCUCAUUACGGAGGAGGAAAAUCUCUACAGAAACUUUAAUUAAAACCUGAAUUAAUGCAGCUUAGUGACCAAGUCAACAUGUCGAAAUUAAUUAGAUUAGUUUAAUUCAAGGUCCUUUGUAUUUUAUUUAAAUUGUGCACUCCACAAUUUAUUUGUCACGGACUGAAUUUUUAUAUUAUUUAUUCAAUUUAUUCGAUCCAA